ACACAACAUAAGGGAUACCUUGGCUGACAAACCGAUGAAGGGCGUGGCAAGCUGCGAUAAGCUUAGGGUAGGUGCAAGCAACCUUCGAUCCUAAGACCCCCGAAUUGGAUUCCACCUCAUGUCCAAAAAGCAUGGGGAUCCUCAGUAGAGGAAGGGAACCCUCCGAACGAAAGCAUUCCAGUAGGAGGUGGAAAAGAAAGCAAUUGCGAUUUCCCUACUAACGGCGAGUGAACGGGAAAUAGGUCAAACCGAAUGCAUGUUUGAAAAAAUAUGUGGAUGUGGUGUUGCGGGCUGAAAUUAAUGCUUCUUAGAGAAAAGUCGAACUCCUUUGGAAAAGGGGGCCGUAGAGGGUGAUAGCCCCGUAUAUGAAAUCUCUAAAUGCUACAAGUUUCAGAUCCCAGACUAGGGCGCAUUGGGAAUUGCGUCCAAACUUCGAGAACAAACUCGAAAACCUAAAUAUUAAUGUCAGACCGAUAGAGCACUAGUAAGGUGACUGAAAGGUGAAAAGCAGCGGUAAAACGCAGUGAAAAGAGCUUGAAAUUAUGUUGUUAAAGAGUGUCAUGGCGUGAAAGGAUAGAGACUUUACGAACUUAAAAUCGGCGACGAUUGAACAGGAGUAAAGUUUACCGGCGUCACGACGUCAGUCUUGAAACACUGGCCAGGGAGUUUAUCAGAGUGGUGAGAUUAAGGUUAUAUUGAAGUCAUAGGGAAACCAACCAGUCCGCAGCACAGCAAUGUGUCAGGGACGACGUCUGAAAGGGCGUGAAAUCACUCGGAUAAGAUGCGAAAGGAGGCGAUCUACGCGUGGCCAGGUUGAAGCCGCGGGAAACCGCGGUGGAGGACCGAACCGUUAUUGAUAUACAACUCAUUCGGGUGAGCUACGUGUCGGAGUCAAAGGCUAAUCGAGCCUCCUGAUAGCACAUUAAAACCAAAGU
rnacentral:ncRNA from 1 species